rnacentral:misc_RNA from 1 species
GAUGAAGAACGCAGCGAAAUGCGAUAAGUAAUGUGAAUUGCAGAAUUCAGUGAAUCAUCGAAUCUUUGAACGCACCUUGCGCUCCUUGGUAUUCUGAGGAGCAUGCCUGUUUGAGUGUCAUUAAAUUCUCAACCACACUGACUUUGAAUCAGUGUGGCUUGGAUUUGGGGGGGAAAUUGUCGUGUGGGCUUUUUGUAUAGUCUGCUCCCCUGAAAUUGAUUAGCGGUACCUUUGUGGAACUGUCUACAGGUGUGAUAAUUAUCUACAUCUUAGACAUCUGCUGGAAUGCUGCUUUCUAAACCUUACUUGUAUUGACAAUCUUGACCUCAAAUCAGGUAGGACUACCCGCUGAACUUAAGCAUAUCAAUAAGCGGAGGA